rnacentral:rRNA from 1 species
AAUUAACGCUGGCGGCAUGCCUAACACAUGCAAGUCGCACGAGAAAGCCCGGUUCGCCGGGCGAGUAAAGUGGCGCACGGGUGAGUAACGCGUGGAUAAUCUACCUCUUUCUGGGGGAUAACGCACCGAAAGGUGCGCUAAUACCGCAUAACCCGGUCGGUUUUCGGAUUGAUCGGUAAAGGUGGCCUCUUCAUGAAAGCUACCGGGAAGAGACGAGUCCGCGUCCCAUUAGCUAGUUGGUAGGGUAAUGGCCUACCAAGGCGACGAUGGGUAGCUGGUCUGAGAGGACGAUCAGCCACACUGGAACUGGAACACGGUCCAGACUCCUACGGGAGGCAGCAGUGAGGAAU